UCCCGAUCGACUAUGACAAAUAUAGGUUUCGCUCAUCGAAAUUCCUCUGGGUCUGUUAUCUUCGCUCUAGAUUUGCUGACCUUGACCCAUCCAAAGACUAGAGGAUGAAACAUUUCGUUUUAUGCAAGCCCAAAUGUAUGAUUACACUUUUAUUGGGGUUUUUCCCUACAAGCAUGUUAUACAUUUUUUAGGAUGGGUAGGAAAUCUUAGAUAUUCUGACUGUUUUUUUCCAUUCUUUGUAGAUGUGGUUGUGUGCUUCAAUUUAUCCAAUUAUCUCGAUUUGUUUUUUUAUUUGAUGUGAUACAAGUGCUUGAUUUUUGUUUCAUCGAUAUGGUCUUCAUUUGUGUGCGCUCAAUUUUAACCCAAAUAUAGCAAUGACUUUUUCAAUUUGCUGUGUUUAGUUCUGUCUUGGUUAAAUUUGUGGCCUUUGCAGUACGUAUCAUGGCUGAUACGUGGUCAUGGAGUUCGUGCGACAGAAAUACCAUCCGAUGGUUUGUCACCCAAUUAGGCUUCUCUUCCCCAAAUGUGUAGGGUAUUUUAUACAUCAGUUUGACCUUUUACUCCAAUUUAUGUUCUUGGACAGGAAACACGGGCGCUCCUCCACGGAAAUUUCGAAAAGGUGAUCGAUCCCGGAGGAUGUGGACUGUACGAGAGGAGAAAAUAUUGGAUGCAUCAAUGCUUGAGCUCCUUGCUAGAGGAUGGAAAUCUGACAACGGCUUUCGUGCCGGGUAUUUGGGCAAGAUUGAGGACAGUCUGCGCAAGGAGUUUCCAAAUACCGACCUCAAAGGAACGUCCCAUAUCACCUCCAAGAUAACGGCGUGGAAGAGGAGCUAUACGAGCCUGACAAAAAUACUAGCAAGAAGUGGCAUGGGGUUCAAAUUCGGAUGGGAAAUACAUGAUUGAAUGCGAUGACGACCAAUGGGAGGCAAUCAUCUAGGCUGAUAAGGAUGCGAAGUUCAUGCGAACCAAGUCAUGGCUGUUAUGGGAAACGUUGAAGGCCAUAUUCGGAAAGGAUCGUGCUAGCGGUGUAGGGGCUGAACAGGUUGAUGAUGCGGCCAAUCGUAUGUGUGCCAAUGUCGCAGGUGGUAGUGAGGUCAAUGAAAAUGAUUACCAGCCAAGCUCCGACGGACAAGAGGCCGACAAUGUGGUUCGUUUGUCAUAGGUGUCGGGCAAUGAAGUCUACAACUCCGGUAACAACGACAAACAAACUUCUACCAACAAGUCCGGAGAUAGCCAGAAGCGCAAACACGAUGGAGCUGAUGCAACCCUCAUGGAGUUUCUCUCAAAUCUGCAUGUUGAGACGAACUCUCGUUUAGAGGUGAUUUCCUCGAGGAUCUGCUAUGAAUUUGAUCUUGGAAAGGCUAAGCAAGAUGUUUUCGACGAACUGGAAACUGUGGAAGGUCUCACGCUCGAUCAAAGGUAUGAACUAUGCAACAUCCUAAGUGACAAACCACAGCGCCUUGGUAUUCAUGGGAAUGCCUGUUCGCGCUUGUCUAGGAUAACUGUUGAAGCUUAUCGAGGAGAAUCUGGUUAGGAAGGAGACUGAUGAUGAAUUAGGUGCCUUUUUUGCUACUGUUUUUUGUUGUGCCACACUGAAGCAAAAAGGUAAUUAGUAUGACUCGCAUAUUUUGUACUCCCUCCGUCCUAAGUUACUUAAGUCAUUUCUCUUUUUGGCUAAAAAUAAAACAUCUAAUCACACCUACUUUAUUCUUUAUUUUAUUUUAUUUUACUCUCUCUUCUUUUUCUUACUUUAUUCCCUCCUCUACUUUAUUUAAUUCACUAAACACAACUUUCUUAAAUCUCGUGCUGAAAAGAAACACCUCAAGUAACGUGGGACGGAGGGAGUAUGUAGCUAGCGUGUAUUAGGAUUUGUACCUUUCCUGACUUAUGUUAUCUAUUUCCAGCGUUUGUAGAGUUGCGAUCACUUAGCCCUGCUCCUACUGUACGACUUGAUGCAUAUGCUAAAAAUUUGUGCUUGUAUUUAAAUUA